CACUUCGCCAUUUUCCUCCGGAAGUGCGGAUCCCAGCGGCGGUCGUGUAGCUGAGCAGGCCUGGGGCUUGGUUCUAUGUCCCUGUAGCUAUGUUUCCAGUGUCCUCUGGGUGUUUCCAAGAGCAACAAGAAACGAAUAAAUCUCUGCCCCGCAGCGCCUCCACCCCAGAGACCCGGACCAAGUUCACACAGGACAAUCUGUGCCACGCCCAGCGCGAGCGCCUGGACUCGGCCAACCUGUGGGUGCUGGUGGACUGCAUCCUUCGCGACACCUCCGAGGACCUGGGACUCCAGUGUGACGCCGUGAACCUGGCCUUCGGGCGCCGCUGUGAGGAACUGGAGGACGCGCGGCACAAGCUGCAGCACCACCUGCACAAGAUGCUGCGGGAAAUCACAGAUCAGGAACACAACGUGGUGGCACUGAAGGAGGCCAUCAAGGACAAGGAGGAACCUCUGCACAUAGCCCAGACCCGGCUGUAGUUGCUCUCACACCGGCCCAACAUGCAGCUGUGCCGCGAUGCAGCCCAGUUCAGCUGGUGAGUGAGGUGGAGGAGCUGUACAAGUCCAUCACAGCGCUGCGGGAGAAGCUUCUACAAGCGGAGCAGUCCCUGCGCAACCUCAAGGACAUCCACAUGAGCCUGGAGAAGGACGUCACUGCCAUGACCAACAGUCUCUUCAUCGACCGCCAGAAGUGCAUGGCCCAUCGUACUUGCUACCCCACCAUUCUGCAGCUGGCUGGCUACCAGUGAGCAGCGGCACGGUGCUUCCCCCCAAUCCCCCAAAUAAACAGUGCGUUAGCUUUCUGCACA
ensembl:lncRNA TEKT4P2 tektin 4 pseudogene 2